UAAAAAAAUGUAUAAUAUGGUAUUAAAACAUAAUUCUUUGGUAUAAUUUUGAUCGGUGGUCAGCUUAUCGGCCAUAUAUAAAUUGUAGCUUGGGGGAAUUUGCACCAUUGCUGAAACAGAUCGAAACACGCGAAACAUGAGCGGACAAGCGGACAUUGCUCUCAUCGGCCUGGCCGUCAUGGGCCAGAAUCUGAUCCUCAACAUGGACGAGAAGGGCUUCAAGGUGGUGGCCUACAACCGCACCGUGGCCAAGGUCAAAGAUUUCCUCGCCAACGAGGCCAAAGGCACCAAUGUGAUUGGCGCCGAUUCGCUGAAGGACAUGGUCUCCAAGCUGAAAGCCCCCCGCAAGGUCAUGCUGCUGGUCAAGGCUGGCAGUGCGGUCGACGAUUUCAUCCAGCAGCUGGUGCCGCUGCUCUCCGCCGGCGAUGUGAUCAUCGAUGGCGGCAACUCCGAGUACCAGGACACAUCCCGCCGCUGCGACGAGCUGGCCAAACUGGGCCUGCUCUACGUGGGAUCCGGCGUGAGUGGUGGCGAGGAGGGUGCCCGCCAUGGACCCUCGCUGAUGCCCGGUGGCCACGAGGCCGCCUGGCCCCUCAUCCAACCCAUCUUCCAGGCUAUCUGCGCCAAGGCCGACGGUGAGCCCUGCUGCGAGUGGGUGGGCGACGGCGGUGCCGGCCAUUUCGUCAAGAUGGUCCACAAUGGCAUCGAGUACGGUGACAUGCAGCUGAUCUGCGAGGCCUACCACAUCAUGCAGAGCCUGGGACUGUCGGCCGACCAGAUGGCCGAGGAGUUUGGCAAGUGGAACUCGGCCGAACUGGACUCCUUCCUGAUCGAGAUCACGCGCGACAUCCUCAAGUACAAGGACAGCAAGGGUCAUCUGCUGGAGCGGAUUCGCGACACCGCCGGCCAGAAGGGCACGGGCAAGUGGACGGCCAUUGCUGCUCUGCAGUACGGAGUGCCAGUAACGCUAAUUGGCGAGGCGGUCUUCUCCCGUUGCCUGUCCGCGCUGAAGGAUGAGCGUGUCCAGGCCAGCAGCUCGCUGAAGGGACCCUCGACCAAGGCGCAAGUUGCCAACCUGACCAAGUUCCUCGACGACAUCAAGCACGCCCUGUACUGUGCCAAGAUCGUGUCCUAUGCCCAGGGAUUCAUGCUGAUGCGUGAGGCGGCCAGGGAGAACAAGUGGCGGUUGAACUACGGCGGCAUUGCGCUGAUGUGGCGCGGCGGCUGCAUUAUCCGUAGCGUCUUCCUUGGCAACAUCAAGGAUGCGUACACGUCGCAGCCGCAGCUGUCGAAUCUGCUGCUUGACGAUUUCUUCAAGAAGGCCAUCGAGCGCGGCCAGGACUCGUGGCGCGAGGUGGUGGCCAACGCCUUCCGCUGGGGCAUCCCCGUGCCCGCCCUGUCCACCGCCCUCAGCUUCUUCGAUGGCUACCGCACCGCCAAGCUGCCCGCCAACUUGCUGCAGGCCCAGCGGGAUUACUUCGGUGCCCACACCUACGAACUGCUCGGUGAGGAGGGCCAGUUCCAUCACACCAACUGGACGGGAACCGGCGGCAAUGUCUCCGCCAGCACCUACCAGGCGUAGGUUCCGGUUCCGUUUCCGGUUACACCUCCUCCUUCUCCACUAUCCCCCGAUCACACAUUCCAUGUCAUAGGCGCCGGUGUCUGUAGAUGUUUCCUUGCUCUUUUUUUUUCUGGAGUACCUUAGUACUUAUUUAUACCAUUAAUAUAUAUCAAAUGAUUUCGGUUCCUUGGUUUGAUGGAUGCAAAGUGCCAUAUAAAAUCAACAGUGUGUGUGGUGUGUUGUGUGUGGGUCGAGUCUUUCGAGUUGUGUCUUCAUGUAGAGACGCCUCCUGCUCCUGCUCCUGCCAAUCGUCCAGCUGCUCCUCCUCCUCCUUCUCCUCCAUCCCUACUAUUGUACUCUCUUCAGCUACCGGCUUUUCGAUCACAUCUCCCUCAGUCAUCCGAGGGCUUCAAGGUCUUCUUGUUCUCUAUGACCAGCUUGUCGGCGCUGUACAAAUGGCCGAUGAUCACCUGUAGACAUGUAGAGGUUAAUAAACUUGACCAACUGAUAAGAAAAAAGGGGCAGCAAAA